rnacentral:piRNA from 1 species
UCUCUCUAAAGAAGAUGAUGUCCGCCAAU